AAUGCAGCAUGUGGACAUUUGAUAUACAUCUCUAUAAAUCUCUCCCAUGCCUGAUGAAACUCCUCGUUCGGCUUCUGCAAAAAUGUUAUAAUCUCUCUCUUGUAAUU